AUCAGUUCUAGUUUUA
rnacentral:rRNA from 1 species